rnacentral:ncRNA from 1 species
CGAGGCUUGGAAUCAUGAUGCUGUGGGCCUCGCCAGCGUCUAGCGGGUGAUCACGGGGAUCUCCACACACCCGCCGGUAUAGCCGCGUCACUACUAAAGUAGGCCGAAAGGGGAAGCUCGCAUUGCUCCUAUCGCUCCGAAUUUUAUAUGUAGUGCGCGCCACACGCCGUGGAGGGGUAGCUGGGUGGACAGCUAGAAAGUGUGGGACGCCG